UCUUUGAUCCCCGCCUUUCCUCCUAAUAGACAAACUGCUGCCAAAGCUUCCAGCUUCUUUCUCCCUGGUGACCAAGCCCCUCAUUUCCAUUUAAUCUCAGCCUCCACCUCCCCUGAACCCCACCCCCUCCUUCCUGUGAAGCUGGUUAUUUCCCUUCUCUUCUCUCAUUUCUUUCCCCUUCCCCCAGCAGUUCACAAUCCUCCUCAAAGUUUAGGCGUAAAUAUCAACGUGUCAUGGUUCCUUCCUUUCUCCCUGACCUGCCUCUUCCUACUCUCUACCCCUUUUCUCUGCUGGCUCCCAAAUCUUUGCUCUUCUUGGCUCUUUAAACACAUUCCUCUUAGUUUUCCCUCAAGUUUCCUUUCCUGCUCCAGCCUCUGGCCCAGGAGAGGUGAAGAUGCAGAGGAGGGAGGCAGGGGGAAGGAGUGGAGGGAAGUAGCCCUCCCUCCACUCCUUCCCCUCCCUGCCCUCCUUCCUCUCCCUCCUCUCCCUCCCCUCCCUCCUCCUCUGUCUCCAGGCUCUGCCUACACUCGGUUUCCCGUGGGAGAAGAUGAAUCUGCAGCAUCAGCCCCUGCCCGUCUCCCACAACCAGGGUGGCUAAGCCCUCAGAGCUCUGCGGGACAAUCCUUCUCUGCUGCUGCUGCUGCUGGAGCCUUCUCAGGGUGUCCUCUGUUGGCAGGCAGUCUUCGCACACAGACUCUGAGCUAGCUCCUGGCUGCACAACUACCCAGGGAAUCGGAACAGGUUUCUGCAUGCAGCUCUUUGGUGAGAGUGACUUAGGGCCCCUUGAGGGGCAUGAGAAAACGAUUUCAAUACCGGGAACACUGGGGCAGGUAGAAAUUCAACGUAUUCCAGCCUUUCCAUCUUCCUGCUAGGCCCCAGCCGGGCUGCCCAGCCUCCUCGUUAGCCUCUGUGAGAAAUUAAAGCCCCAAUAAUCAAAUCAACCCUUGUAAAUUCUCUAAAAGCCGCUCCAGAGCACCAAGGAGCCAGCAAACCCCAGACCCAAAUCCAUGUCAAAUUUCAUAGAUAUAAUUUAAGCAGGGAUCAAAACCCACACUAACCUAGUAACUAAGGCUGCUCAAAAUGCACUUUAUAGUCCAUCUGCCUCUCUGCUUCAGGGAGUCUGUAUUAAAUUUAUUGCAAAGUAAAACAAAUAAACCCAGGCAAAGGCAAGAUGGAAAUCUGCA
rnacentral:lncRNA from 13 species